rnacentral:rRNA from 1 species
GACGAAUGCUGGCGGCGUGCUUAACACAUGCAAGUCGAACGGAAAGGCCCUGCUUUUGUGGGGUGCUCGAGUGGCGAACGGGUGAGUAACACGUGAGUAACCUGCCCUUGACUUUGGGAUAACUUCAGGAAACUGGGGCUAAUACCGGAUAGGAGCUCCUGCUGCAUGGUGGGGGUUGGAAAGUUUCGGCGGUUGGGGAUGGACUCGCGGCUUAUCAGCUUGUUGGUGGGGUAGUGGCUUACCAAGGCUUUGACGGGUAGCCGGCCUGAGAGGGUGACCGGCCACAUUGGGACUGAGGUACGGCCCAGACUCCUACGGGAGGCAGCAGUGGGGAAUAUUGCACAAUGGGCGGAAGCCUGAUGCAGCAACGCCGCGUGCGGGAUGACGGCCUUCGGGUUGUAAACCGCUUUCGCCUGUGACGAAGCGUGAGUGACGGUAAUGGGUAAAGAAGCACCGGCUAACUACGUG